UACGUAGGGCGCAAGCGUUGUCCGGAAUUAUUGGGCGUAAAGAGCUCGUAGGCGGUUUGUCGCGUCUGCUGUGAAAAACCUAAGGCUCAACCUUGGGCUUGCAGUGGGUACGGGCAGACUAGAGUGCGGUAGGGGGUGACUGGAAUUCCUGGUGUAGCGGUGGAAUGCGCAGAUAUCAGGAGGAACACCGAUGGCGAAGGCAGGUCACUGGGCCGCAAGCUGACG
rnacentral:rRNA from 1 species